rnacentral:rRNA from 1 species
CCAAAAACGGUUAAUCCUUUAAAGACCAUUUGUUCUUGUGCCACCUUUAUAUAUUGUACAUCAUCAUGGAAUUUAUAGCUAAACCAGUUGAGAGAAUUUAUAAUCUAAGAAAUUAGGAAUAUGUUACCAAUCUCAUUAACGACUAUUAAAGUGCCAGCAGUCGCGGUCAUACUUUAGUUAAAAUAAAGCAAAUCAGGAUAUGUGUAAGUAAUCUAAUUACCUGUAGUGAAAUACGAUAAAACAUACUUUAAUACUUAAAAUUCAACCAAUACUGACAAACAAACAGGGAUUAGAUACCCCUUUAUGCAGUAAGUAAAUCACAUCCUGGGCACUACAAUUAACAAAUUAAAACCCAAUGAACAUGGCGGUAGUUUAAAUAUUUAGGGGAACUUACUAAGUAAAUGAUAACCACCAAGAAUAUGUACGUUAAGUUAAAUUUUACAUACCGUCGUCGUCAGAUAUUCUAAGAUAGAAUGUCAAAAUAUAGCAAUAAUAAAAGGACAGAUCAAGGUGUAGACUAUCUUUACGUUUAAGCGAGUUACAAUAUUUCUUUUUUUCGUAAACUAGUUUUUAUAGCUACUUAUAGUCGGACUUAAAAGUAAUAGUCAUAAAAAAUACAGUAUGAAUUCUUUUAAUCUGUGC